AAGGCUGCUGGCCUGCUCAGAAGGGGCAGACUAUGGCUAGAGGUGGAGGGAGCACCCAACUGCCGAGGAGGGAGUCGACGGGACGGCUGAACGCGCUGCUGCUAGGCCCAAGCUGGGCCCGUCCCCAACGAAGGAGCCGCCAGCCGACACCCCGGGACCCAGGCACCGAGCUGGACACUGCCAACCCCAACGCUGACGGGGGAAGUGACAUUACAGCCACCCGACCAAUGCCAACAGGUAGACCCUGAGACCUCUCUGUGGUUGAGACAAAGAGCCUUGGAGACGCACGGAAGAGUUUUGUGCAUUGCCCUGUGGAUGUCUAAAGGAUGUAAGACUGUUUCCCUGCUGUCCCUGUGAAGCUUACAAUGGAAGAUGGUGGGUCUACAGCAGUUCAUGAUACCUCCUGUACAGAUGCAGGACAUGCAGCUUUGAGAGGAGUCAGCCAGCCAGAAGCCAUGCCUGGAGAUGCAGGGUCUGUACACUGGGAUGCUAGAGCUGCCCAUUCUAUUGUAUGAGCAAGGAUGACACCAGCAAGAAGCGCCACGGAGGAGCUAUGCUCAUUUGUAGCAGAUAUUGAUGAACCAGAGGCUCGAAAGAUUGUCUAGGGGUGGCGUUUUGUGGCAAAGGACCGGAGCUGCGAAGGAGGAAAGCCCGAACUUAAAUGUACUUAACCAAUUACAAACUUUAUUAACUACAAUCUGAUUAUAUUAAAUUACUGUCUUCGAUUUGUUUAAGACAACGUAGCAUGCAAAUAAAACAUACAUUAAAGAAUAUUAGUUUGCCUAUUCACUUAACCUCUCAAUUCUACUCCUAGUUCUUAUUUAGACCUAAGUGUGAUACCAUUAUACAAUAUGAUUAAUACAAUACAGCUAACUAUUGCAAAGCUGAUAAAUAAUACAUUAAGAAAUACUUACAAACCCAGUGACAAUUACGAUACACAGACAAAAAACAACGCGUAGCAUGCUCCGGAUUCGUACACCCUUUCGUGACUCGGUGGGUGGGAGGCGGCCUUGAGUGAUCAACCCUUUAGCCAGGCUGGACGAUACAUGCCUUCUAUUUUGAUACAGAACCUCCCCGAGCUUAGGGCUCAGGGUGAUUUAUACUAUAAUUUUGACAUCCGGUACCAUAGUAGGGUUAUUUGCUAUCUGGUACCAUAUUAGGAUUCCUUCCUUGUGAUAUGAUGUCUGCCUCAAGGCAUUGUGGUCAGUGCAGACAUGACUGGCACAUGUGAAAGCUAGCUAUGUUUUUGCUUCCCUGCUCCAAGUGCUUGUUAACAGAUGUAUAUGACAGCUCAUUUCUCUUAUUCCUAUCUUGUCCUGUUUUUUUAGUGUUCGUUAACUUAGUGUAUGGGAUAGCUUGUGUGCCUACUCUUAUCUUUUUGGCGCAGGUGCUUGCCAAGUUCAGUUCCGUUUACUGAGAACUAUGCUGAGCACCCGAGGGACUUCAAGCUCUGUCUCUGGAUCCGCCUCAGCGGCCUGUGUUUUUCUUGUGAGGGGCUUUAGUGUGGCAGUAUGGGCAAUACGCGCGAGGCCGUGGUCAAAAGGACCCGCUACACGACAAAUAUGACCCAAGAUUUGAAGAAAAUUACAUUGGACAGGGGAGUGCAAGAAAUAGGGAGGAGUCUUAUUUCAGCUUUUUUUAAAACCAACAGAGUAAGUCUCCUCCCCUUUUUGUUAAUCCUGUCUGUGUUUUGGUCAAUCAACCCCCCACCCCCAUCACUUCUUUCCAGCACUUUGGUUUACAUCAGUCACUUCUCCCCUUAUUUUUCUCAUUGUAUUUUCUCUGUUGCCUGCGAUGGAGAGAGUAAAACUUUCCUGUAGCCUUAAUAACUGCAGUCCAAUUAUGCUAAUGGUUUUGCACAGCAGAACUUUCCUGGCAGCAAGAGUUUUUAUUCUAGUAUCAUGAGAUCCUAGGCCAGGGCCAGAUGUGGCCCACCAAGCCACCGA